rnacentral:rRNA from 1 species
GACGGGGCCCGCACAAGCGGUGGAGUAUGUGGUUUAAUUCGAAGCAACGCGAAGAACCUUACCAGGUCUUGACAUCCCCUGACAACCCGAGAGAUCGGGCGUUCCCCUUCGGGGGACAGGGUGACAGGUGGUGCAUGGUUGUCGUCAGCUCGUGUCGUGAGAUGUUGGGUUAAGUCCCGCAACGAGCGCAACCCUCGACCUUGGUUGCCAGCAUUCAGUUGGGCACUCUAAGGUGACUGCCGGCUAAAAGUCGGAGGAAGGUGGGGAUGACGUCAAAUCAUCAUGCCCCUUAUGACCUGGGCUACACACGUGCUACAAUGGGCGGUACAAAGGGUCGCGAACCCGCGAGGGGGAGCCAAUCCCAAAAAGCCGCUCUCAGUUCGGAUUGCAGGCUGCAACUCGCCUGCAUGAAGCCGGAAUCGCUAGUAAUCGCGGAUCAGCAUGCCGCGGUGAAUACGUUCCCGGGCCUU